rnacentral:lncRNA from 1 species
CGUCCUUGGAAGAUGAGGGCUCACUUCUACUAUGACUGCUGAAUCUGGAAUCUACUAUUGAUCUGGAACUCGUGUCUCUGAACCUAUGGUGUAACAUAAAAAGAAAGCACACCAUAGCGCGAAUGCGUCAGUACAUAUGUACCGAGUAUAUAUGUGAGGUAGGCUAAAUGCAAGGGUUCACAUGCAUGCUAAUUCUAACUGACUGUCUCUCAUGAACUUGAGAAUGCAUACAUAAUUAUGUAACUGUAACUGACCAUGUGAUAUCGUGAUUACUGAAUCUGAAUACUGAUAACAUGACAUGACUAAUAACAUGAAUGACUAUAUUUGAGUAUAAUUGAUAACAUGGGUGACUAUAGCAGACAGUCCUGAAUAUGAUGGAACUAUCUGAGUUCCAUACUGUAUCUGACAGUCCUAAAAUAUGAAGAGCUAUCUGAAUUCUAUUAUUGAGAUUGACUGACUGUAUCUGAUAGUCCUGGUUCUAUAACAUAAAACUGUGGGAAUUAUUAUCUAACCGGUAUGCCCCAAAGAUGCUAUGAUAGCUAACCUAGGGUCCAAUUUGUGCCCUGAUUAGAAGGGUGUCAAUACCGCGCAACUAGUAAGGAUAACAUAUGAGAAACCCUCAUAUAAUAGGUAACUCUAGUGAGAACGGUCGGAACCCUUACAUAACAGUUUAACCCACCUCAUCUACCCUCAUAUAGCAGGCUACAAUGUCUCAACCUAUGCUGCUACUUAUUUUUGGAAUGGAAGGAUUGCUUCUAGGAAUCACACCCUCGUAUAAUAGGUGAGUCCCCAUCCUUGGGUUUACUCAGUUCUAAUUCCUACUUCCAUCUGAAUGGACACUAAAAAUGAUUUAUUGAACUGAAUUGAGCGUGGACUGAGUUACUAAAUUUCCGUGGGUGACAAAAUACUACUGAUAUCUAACAACUGACUGAGUCAUGUGAUCAUGGAGAUUUUUUUUGAGUCAUAAGACUAUCUGAAGUCUAAGAGUUCAUAGCUUGACUGAGAGUAUCGUGAAAACAAGACAUGGAUCUAGGCAUACAACUAAUAUUUCGAGAACAAGUACCCCCAGGACUCGAUGGAAGGAAAUUGACAUGACUUGAUAUUCUUAAAUACAUGAUACUCACCACAAUACGUUUCUUGAAGCAUUUCAUCAAACUUCUAAUAAGCAUAAGCUUGUACAUUUAUGGGGAUUUUCAUGAGAUCAUGCUAGUCAAGCAAAUUUCCUUCAUCUAGGUAUUUAGUCAAACAUAUGGCAGGCAUAGUACAUUUAAACAUCAUGAUAUAGCAAUUAAACAUCAUGGUUCAAUUCCAAUUUCAUCAUACAAGGUUUUAGUCAUAAAAUUUCAUAAAUCUUUAUCUAUACUAAUCAACCCACAUGGAAUUUAUCAUCAAAUAAUGGAAUAGAAAUCAAUUCCUCAUUUAUCAAGAUGAAGGAGAACAUACAAAGCAUGAAAGCAUGAAAAAAAUCCAUAACUUAUAGUUGAAAAGGGAUUCUUGAACUUCAUGGACGAAAGGAGCCCAUGAAUGAACACUAUGCAUACCUUAGUUUGUGAUUCAUCAAGAUUGAUGGUGAAACCUUCUUGAAAUUGGACCUUCUAUGAAAACCCUAGCUUGAGUUCUUGAGAGUAUUUGAGAAAAACAUUAAUAUUUUGGAUGAAUAAGGGCUAAAUCCCAUUUUUGGAAACAUAUAUAGGGGGGAAAUUGACCUUUUUAACCCUGGACACGUAAUUUAAUUUUCAGUAAAAUUUUUCAAAUUGGGCCCUUGGCGCGAUGUGACAUUAUCGCGCCGUGUCACUGGAAAUGGACAAUUGGAAAACUGCACGAUGGCGCGAUGCAGAGCUAUCGCAUUGCCACCUUGUCUAUAACCUAAAAAUUUGGCACAACGUGCCAGUAUCAUGGAGCAACAUUGGAAAUUGACAAUUAUCAUUUGAGCUAUCUCCGCGACGUGCUGAAGGUUCAGGUCAAAUACUGUCUCACUAAAAAAGACCUAACUCUUCGCCCGGGUGUCGAAUUUGGGCAAAUUAUAUAUCGAUGGAAAGGUUAUUCAAUUUACCACGUGAUAAGAAGUGAAAAUUAUGGAAAUACCAGGUGUAUAAGAAUGAAUUCUUAUUUCAAAGUAAGUUCUAACAUCCUUGAGAUAAUUUUUAAGCUAAGAAAAAAUAUGGGUAUUACAAUUUUGGGACGUCCCUUUUUAGUAACCGGGAUUUCAUUGAUUGAUGUAGCUACAGGAGAGUUGACCAUGAGUGCUCAUGACAAGGCUGAGGUGUUCGACGUAUACAAGGAAAUAAAGUGCCCGCAAUAUAUGAAGAGCUAUCUUCUAUCACAAUCUUGGAUCUUGAGUCUAAUUUUCACCUAAUUAUUUCCAAGGAUCCCUUGGAGCGAGCAUUGGUGGGAUAUAAUAUCUUUGGUGAUAUUGAAGCAGUUGAAAUAGUAUAGCUUUCGGAUGUGGCAAGCAUUAUUACAAGAAAUACCAUAUUUGAGUCACUGAAUAAACCAAUUGGUCCUACUCCCAAGGCAUCUGUUAAUGAAGCACCGAAGCUAGAGCUCAAAGAUCUACCCUUUUAUUUGAAAUAUGCUUUACUUGGUGAGGAUGAUACUUUGCCUGUGAUUUGUCUGCAUAUUUAUUUGAUGUGCAGGUGAAAGAGGCAUUGGCAAUACUAAAGAGAAGGAAAAAGGCAAUCGGAUGGCAAAUGUCGGAUAUCAUAGGAAUCAAUCUUGCCUUUUAUAUGCAUAAAAUAUUUUUGGAGAAGGGAUAUAAAGAGAUUAUGUAACAUCAAUAAAGACUAAGUAUUGUGGUGAAAGAAGUAGUCAGAAAAGAAUUCAUUAAGUGGAUUGAUACUGGGAUAGUUUAUUCCACAUCCGAUAGUAAAUGGGUCAGCCUUGUGCAAUAUGUUCCAAAGGAAGGAGGGAUGACUGUUGUGACCAAUGAUAAUAAUGAAUUGAUUCCAACUCAUACAAUAACUGGGUGAAAGAUCUGUAUAGAUUAUAGGAAGUUGAAUGAUGCCACUUGGAAGUAUCACUAUCCCAUUCCUUUUAUUGAUCAAAUGCUGGAUAGGUUGGCUAGACAAGAAUAUUAUUGCUCUCUGGACCGGUAUUUAGGCUAUAAUUAGAUAGCCAUAGCACCAAAAAAUCAAGAGUAGACUACCUUCACCUGUCCUUAUAACACUUAUGCAUUCAGAUGUAUGGCCUUUGGUCUUUGAAACACACCAGCAACUUUCUAGAGAUGUGUGAUGGCUAUCUUCUAUGAUAUGGUGGAGGAUUUUGCCGAUGUAUUUAUGGAAAAUUUUUCUAUUUUUGGUAAUUCAUUUGAUAUAUGCUUGAAGAACUUAGAUAGGGUCUUGGCUCGGUGUGAGGAGACCAACCUCGUAUUAAACUGGGAGAAGUACCACUUUUUGGUCAAAGAGGGUAUCAUCUUUGGUCAUAAAGUGUCACACAGACGACUUGAGAUGGAUAUAUCCAAAGUAAAUGCCAUUGAGAAACUACCAUAUCAAGUGUCAACAAAUGGUGUAAGAAUCUUUCUCAGACAUACAGGGUUUUAUAAAUAAUUUAUCAAUGAUUUCUCAAAGAUAGCAAGUCCCAUGUGCAAGCUACUAGAGAAAGAGGUAAAGUUUGACUUUGGGGAUGAAUGUUAGAAAGCAUUUGAGAAUUUGAAAAGAAGAUUAGCAGAAGCACCCAUUCUAAUUGAUCCUAAUUAGCAUUGUCAUUAAGCUGAUGUAUGAUGUAAGUGACGUGUCUGUUGGGGAAGUAUUGGGGAAGCGCAAAGAUAAGCUAUUUCACUCUAUAUACUAUGCAAGUAAAACCUUAGAUGCAGCCCAAGUCAAUUAUACAGUCAUAGAGAAAGAGAUGCUGGAACUCAUCUAUGUAUUUAAUAAAUUUAGAGCAUACUUGGUGGUCACGAAGGUAAUUUUUCAUAUGGAUUAUGCUGCCAUUCGGUAUUUUUUCAACAAGAAAGAUGCAAAGCUGAGGUUAAUCAGGUGGAUUUUUCUUCUCUAGGAAUUUGAUUUGGAGGAUCGUGAUAGAAAGGGAGCUGAAAUCAAGUGGUUGACCAUUUAUCAAGGAUUGAGAGUCAUGCUCAUGUUGCUGAUGAUACAUUAUGUAUUUGGGAAGUGUUUUUGGAUGAGCAGUUAAUGGAACUAGACAUAGCAGAGGUUCCUUGGUAUGCUGAUAUAGUGAAUUUGUUGGUUAGAGGUAUGUAUCCUCCCGAUGCCACAAGUCAACAGAAGAAGAAAUUGUUCUGUGAUUCCCGCUCAUACAUGUGGGAUGAGCCUUAUCUGUUCAAAUAAGGUGCUAAUAGAAUUGUGAGAAGAUAUAUUUCCUGAAGUUAAAUCCAAACAAGUGCUGGAAAGUUGUCAUUCAUCACUUUAUGAAAGUCAUCACGGAGGUGAAUAGAUAGAAAGAAAGGUAUUACAGUCUGUUUUUUUGCCUAUAUUAUUUAGAGAUGCUAUAACUAAUGUGAGAGAAUGUGAUCAAUGCUAGAGAAUAGGCACUAUCUUGAGGCGCCAUAAAAUUCCCCUGAAUAAUAUUCUUGAAGUUGAGAUUUUUGAUGUGUGGGGGAUUGAUUUCAUGGGCCUGUUUCCACCAUUGAAUAGUAAUAUGUAUAUUCUAGUGGUUAUAGAUUAUGUGUCCAAAUGGGUAGAGGUUGUAGCACUCCCCCACUAAUGAUGCUAGGGUGGUGAUAAAAUUUAUGAAAAAGAAUAUAUUUUCUCAUUGUGGAACACCUAGAGCAAUUAUCAGUGAUGGAAAAAUGCAUUUUGUGAAUCGUUGGUUUAAAAACUUGUAGGCAAAGUAUGGAGUCAGACAUAGGGUGGCCACUGUGUAUCAUCCACAGACGAGUGGACAAGUGGAAGUAUCUAACAGAGAGAUCAAACAGAUUCUACAGAAGACUGUUAAUGGUUAGUGUAAGGAUUGGUCAGUUAAGUUGGAUGAUGCACUAUGGGCGUAUCGAACAACCUAUAAAACGCCUAUUGGGACAUCUCCCUAUCAUUUGGUGUAUGCAAAAGGAUGUCACUUGCCUACAAAGCUUGAGCAUCAGGUUUAUUAGGCAACGAAGAAAUUGAAUCUUGAUCCGAAGAUAUUAGGCUUAUUGGGCAGUGAAGAAAUUAAAUCUUGAUCCGAAGAUAUUAGGCUUAUUAGGCAGUGAAGAAAUUAAAUCUUGAUCCUAAAGCUGUUAGGAGAGAAGAGGUUGUUACAAUUUAGUGAACUCGACGAGUUUAGCUUACAAGCGUAUGAAAAUACAAAAUUGUAUAAAGAGAAAACCAAUAGAACGUAUGAUAACAAAAUUAUGACUCAAGUUUUUGAGCUUGGUCAGCAAGUAUUGCUAUUCAAUUCAGGGAUAAAGCUGUUUCCAGGUGAAGUUGUGAAAAUGACUCCUCACCGGUCUGUUGAACUUUGGUGUGAGGACAAAAUUACUAUGUUCUUGGUAAAUGGAAAAAGAUUUAAACAUUAUUAGGCGGAUAAUGUGGACAAGCACUAGAUGUCCAUCACAUUUAAAGAUGAAUAAAGCUGAGUUUGGUCAUUCCACGACAUAAAAUAAGGUGUUGCAUGGGAGGCAACCCAUGAAUGUAAUAUAAAAUCAUAGUUUAUUUUCUAUUUAAUUGAAAAAAAAAUAGAAAAAAAUUCAAAAAUACGAAAAGAUGUGUCGAGCCACGACCAAAACUAAGGUGCUAGGUUGGAGGCAACCCACUUUUUCUUAUGUGUUUUGUUAUUUUUGUGGAGAUUGCAGGAAUGAGAAACUUCAUGGCAUGCAAAAAAAAAUAUGAGUAAAUUUUGUGUUGGGAGGCUAUCAGGUACAUAAAAGAUGUAUUAAGUUAAUGAAAAAAGGAAGGUAAGAAAAAGAGGGACAAAAGUCCCCCAAAGACACGAAAUAGUAGCCCUCCAUGAUAGCCCCGCGUCGUGGACUCUAUCCUCCAUGAUAAGGUCUGUGUCGCACUAAAGGAAAAAUUUAUGGAGGACAAUUCCAGUAAGUCUCUGCGAUAGCUCCGAGUCACGGAGCCCAUUGCCGAGACUAAGCUCCGCGACGCAGAGUUUUUUUUUGAAAUGUUUAAUUAAAAAAGACAGGUUUUAACCCAACCCAACCUUUUAUAACCCAAAAUUCACCCUUUUUAAUCAAAAUUCCACUCAUUUCCUAUAACCCUAACGUACCAUUCUUUCCCAAACCCUCUCUAAAUGUUUAAAGCGUGUCAUACCGAAGCUUUCCACCUUCCCUCUCCAUCACUCCAACUUAAGUAAGUACUUAAGUCAUUUUGAUUCUAAUUUAUUAGCAUUGAGUAUUUAAAGAGUCACACUUUGAAUAAACCUAUUUUAUUUAUUGAAUGCUUGAAGUGCUUGAUGUUUUAAAUCGAAAGUUGAAUGCAUUGAGUUAUGGGUGCAUAGUUAAAUAAUGUAAUGUACGACCUUGUGCACUUUACUCAUUCCACAAUUUUUUAACUGUAUCACUGACAUGUGCUUUGAAUUUUAAGUUGAACUCUUACUUAGUGAGUGUGAUGGGCAAGAUUACUGCGAAUGUCUUCGUCUACCUGCUAGAACUAAAAAAGGCAUGGGUGUGUGUGAAGAUGUAGCAUACUUCUUAGACCUACUUAGAAUUGAUAGUAAUGUGAUUAAUGCAAAGAAGGAUCAUUCGAUAGUCUUGUGAUGCUCUGCAAAACCGUUCCCCUACUGUGAGUUGUAAUUGGAGAUGUGAUGCCAACACUAAGUGAAUUAUGUUUGUAGUUUUGCAUAGUGUUAAUGUUGGCACCUGUGUUUAAAAUUGAACUCAUAGGGUUGUUAGAAGCUUUACUAAAAGAACUAAGCUGGUAAUGAUGUAGUAUGUUAAAUGUUGUGGAAGUAAAAUAAAAAUGUAUGCCUGAAGUCUGAAUAAAGCAACACCCAAGUGGUUGAAUAUAUGUAUUGUGGUGCCGUGAAAAUCGGAUUAUAAUGUUAAACAUGGGAAGUCUGAGUACCCUAGUUUAUAAACCACACACCUAUGCUAGCAACUAAGUGUGGGGGUGUUUUCUACGUCUUUUCACACAUAGUGUUUUCUAGUUCAAAUGUAUACUAACUUUGACAUAUUUUUGCAUAUAUAGACAAUAGAUAACAAAAAGAAAAAGGGUAUUGUUGGGACAUCUGAAGCAUCCAAAAAGAAAAACAUACCAACUGGCUAAGUGCCAAGAGCUCCUGCUAUCCCACACAGGAAAACACAUAGAUAUAGGACCAGAUGGGUGGAGGAGCCUAGCAAGAAAUAGUAUUUGAAGAAUAAUGAGAUGAAGUACGCCCCGAAUGAGUUCAUCAAUUGAGAAACAUUACUAAGGGAAUACCCUAACAUGGUAAGAAGACUAGAGCAGUUGCACAUGAAUUUACUCUUGGAGCAGCCCACGGAGUGCAACUUGCACCUCACCAGAGAAUUUUAUGCUAAUUGGGACCCUAGGGAUCUCAAAUUCUAAAGUGAAAAUUCGUGGACAGGUAGUGACUUUCUUGACCCAUGUUUUGAAUGAAAUUCUAGGCAUCCUAAAGAAGAUGCAGUCCCUCUAAGGCAGUUGAAUAUUACCCCAUCAUAUGCAUACAUCAAACACCUGUUGUGAGAAAAUAGGUCUAUAUCUAUAUAGGCUCGUCAAAGAGAUAGUGGCCUUCACCUGACAUUUCUGUAUGAUCAAAUGAACAAAGAGGCACACAUGUAGUUGAAGAUUAUUUGCCACUGACUGAUUCCAGGUAAAACAUAGAAGAUGUUACUCGUGAUAGGGUCUGACUAAUUUAUUCUUUGAUGAGGGAUGAUAUUGAGAUUAAUAUAGGUGUUUUUAUCCCGUCCACAAUGAAGAAGGAACGCUACCAUCCGAGGCACAAAUAUGGAUUUGGUGAAUUGCUGACUAGGUUUUUCCAGAGUCACGAGGUUGAGGAGGAGGCACUAGAUUACAGGCUAGUAGUGGAAACAUACCCUAUAGAUCUGACUAGGACUAAAGAACAAGAUAUGGCUCAUGGGCUGGUUCUUUGUACGCCAGAGCAUAUGGAUUAAAAUGAUGAGAUUAUACACGUAUAUAUGGGCUACAAAUGCUCCAGAUGAGAGUAGGGGGUAGACCAGCUAUGAAUAAGAAGAUUCAUGCUACUGAGCUGGAUUACCCACUCAGUCAUUAUACCUAAAAUUUGCUGUGGAUAGGCCCAGAAUUUGUAGAGCUUAUAGAUAAUGAUAUGUCCACAGAUGAAGAGCUAAUGAUGAUAGAUUCUGAUGUUGAGUUAGAGGAGGAAGAGGUAGUGGAUCCAAAUAUCGAUGAUGACAUGGACGAUGCUUGAUCAUAGAGUGUCGCACCAUCUCAUUACUUAGUUAUAUCUGUAAGCACUGAGGACAGUGCUAUAUUAUAAGUGUGGGGUGGUGGUUCUCAUCCUUCACAUCUUUUAUUUGCUACUCUAUCUUUUUAUUAUUUAUGAAUAUUUAUUUUAUUGUUGUUGUUGAUGUAGUUUUAAUUGACAUUCUAACUAUUUGAUUUGUAAUAGUUAGUAAUUAUGAUAUUUGCUGACUUGGUAAUUUGUAGUGAUUUGAUUUUUUUUUGUUUUUUAUUAGUUCAUUACUUUUAUUUUGUAUUGUAUUUAGUUCAUAUUUGCUUAUCUAAGUUUCAUUAAAUUUUAAAAGUAAAUUUCUUUUUGCCCUUAAGGUGAUUUUAAUAACACAUCAUAAUUAGGUGCCUUCCUGUAUGAUGGAUGGAUGACAACUGUCUUAAGGGGAUUAUUCUUAGGAAAUAAAUAAGUGAGAAGAACCCAACCAUAACUCUAGGUUGAGGUACUUUGUGUUGGGCUAUUUGGCUACAUGACAUGAGACACUUGUUUUAGAGAGAAGCAUGUCAAACUUAAAAGAGGGAUGCUAGUUUUAGACACCUAUUCUCAAUUAUGUGACUCUCGAUUUGUUGGCUUAAUUCUAAAUUUGUGCAAUUACUAGAUCGAGAGCCUGUACGAAUCCUAUUAGAAUCUAGCAUGCACCAAGUGUAAGUGAGAUUGUCUAGUUAUUCCACAUGUAUAGUGAUGUCUAUAACUUGACUGGUGUGUUUACAAAGUGAAAUAAAGGGUGUUGGAUUUAGAAGAUGAUGUAGCCAUUUUGUUGAAAGCCAUGUUUCAGACCUCUUUUACCUACCCUUGUAAUUAUCCCUAUUUAGGCCUGUUGAGACUACAACCUAUUCUCCUUAGCAUCCUUAUAUGUAGCAUGUACCCCUUCUUUGUUUGACCUUAAUUUGAUCCAAAGCUCCUAGGCGCUUCAGUGAAAAAUUAACUGAGUAAGGAGUUGAAAAAUAAAUAGAAAAAAGGUGAUAGUAAAGCCCCAAAAUAUAGCUAUGGGUGUAAGAAUGGAGGUAAAAUAAGGUCGGGAGUUAGGUGAUGAAAAGAAUAAAGAAUGUUCAAGAAAAAAUUGAAUAGUGUGUUAAAAAAGUAGACUCUUUUUCACGGUGUAUCUGAAUCAGCUUAAUAAGAUGGGGCUAAAAUAAAAGAAAAUGAAAAGAUAGAUGAGGUGAAGAAUUUGUUGUUAAUUGGGUAUUUGUAGUAUUUGUGUGAUGUAUUAAAGAGCUUAGGAAGAUUAGCCACUAUUUUUACCCAAAUAGUUUCUACCUGUCCCUUAGUUACAUUACACCCUUUGAAGACCUACUUGAUCCUAAAUCAUAAUAAUCGACUAUUUAGUGGAGUUGCACACUAAGGGCAAGCCUAUGGUUCAUCAUAUAUCAUGUGUGAAUUCCUUGCGAGAGUGAGCAAAAUUUAUUCUCUAUGUGCCCAUGCUUGUUAGAGAUUGCAAAAUUUUGAAUGAAGUGAGGGUGCAUGUUGAGGAUAAUUGGGUGACCUGUAGGAUUACUUGAUUGAAUAAUGUGCAAUGUUUGCCAGCACACUAGAGUCCAUUUUUAAGGUUAGGAAGUUUGAAAAUUGUAAUCCCGUGCUUUCAUAGGUGCGAUGACAUAUUUUAGGUGAAGAGUAAUAAGUCAUGUGUAGCCUGUGUGAGCCCAAUAAAACUGUCUUAUUCAGAUUGUGGUAUAAAGUCUAUUUGUGUUAUAAUGAUUUUUUGGGAUUGUUCGAGGAAGAAUAAGAUUCUAAGAGUGGGGUGGUCAUCUUGGGCAUAUUUAUCCGUACAAGUGCCAAUAUUUAUUCAUAUUUAGACUUGUUCUAUGAUCUAAAACGUGUUAAUUGUAUUGUGUUUGAGUUAUAAUUGUAUUCUCUAGCUAAUAGACAUGAUUAGUUGUUGUAGGGCUCGAUUGUGAUAAAAUUGGACGUGCUUUGAUGCAUUAAUAAGAAGAUUUUGAAUUAUGGAAGCACUUGAAGUGGCAUGCUAAAUACAAAGACACUAGAAAAAGGUUCGAAAAACAUGGAAUAAAGUGGGGAAGUAAAAAUGGAAUGUCAAUUUCCAAUGAGAGUGCACGAUAUCCCCGCGUUGCGGAUCCUAGUAUCCGUGAUGGCCCCCGCGAUGCGGAGGUUGAUUUAUUCAGCAGGGAUAAUCAAGUGGAGGUCCGUGAUGGCCCCGCACCACAGACCUUACCUCCACGUUAGGCUUCACAGCAUGGUGAAAAGUAAAUGUUGUGGAGUUGUACCCCACUAUAAAAGGACUACUUAAACACAAUUUGAAACAUCUUGCAAUACGUAUAGCAAAGGAAAAAAUAAUUAUGGGUGUUUAUUUAGGGUUCUUCCAUUUCUCAUCUUUGAACAUUGAAUUCGGUACAAUUAAUUAUAUUUUCUUGACGUUGAUUUCAAACAUGAAUGGAAACAAACCCUUGUUCUGGGGUUGAGGUCGAGAACAUGAACAUAUUUCGAUCUUCUUAGAGUAGUUAACAUUGAUUUAUCGCAUGAGUUAUUUUUAUUCUCUUGUUUCUACUAUUUUAAUGAAUGGCCACUGUUAAAAUACAUCUAUAAUCCCUUUGUGAACCAGGAAGGAGAAUCAUUGGGAUAGAUCGAAGAGUUUAAGGAGCAAGUUUGUAUUCUUCUUCAUAACGAAGGAUAUGAAGUAGCGACUAAGAUAGGAAUAUACCUAGGAGCCUUGUUUGGUUCAACUGCAGGAAGAUAACUUAAAAUAUCUAAAUGGAUUGUUGCAUUCCCACUCAAUAAUGUAGUUGUAAUGUCCCUUUAGGCAGAAGAUUAGAGGCUCGAAAAAACAUAAUCAAAAUCUAAACCCUACGAAUCAAUAACCCAAUAAUCAAUACGACCACAAUAAGGAUAGAGAUGUAUAGGAUUGUUAAGAGUGCCUCGACCCUAGAAUUCUCCCUCAUAUUAUUUACAACGUAACUUACGUUGCGAUUGUCACACUUUAUUAUUUAUUUAGUUGUUAAAUUAUCAAUAAAUUGUUUAACCCAUUUUGAUACUCUGAAACACUUGAAUACAUUAUUGUCAAAAUUGAAGUUAAGUAAACUACUAAUUAAGCAUUCCUCGUGGGUACUAUAUCUGAUACUUUGAGUCACUAUAUUACUUGUACGAUCGCGUGCACUUGCGUGUGCUCUAGACCACAACAACAAUAAAUAAAUAAAUAUUUUAAAUUUAACUUGAACUUCUUUAAUAAAAAAACUAAUUGUUAUACAGUAGAUUAAAUUGCAACAGUUUGAAUUCAAAAAAAGAAAACUUGAAAGCCAUCACUACUCCCACUUCAUUUCCUCUUCUCACGAGUAUAGUUUGGGAUGGUUACUUUUCACCGUUUUACCUUCUUUUUUUCUGAGUUUUAAUUAAUCUUCUUACAUUAUACUUUUUCUCUCUUUCAUAUGUAGAGAUGAAUUUUUAUAAUAUGAAAUGGAAAGAACUGCAAGCACUAUGCAAUAAAGUUGGAACAUGAAAUUUCAGGUAAUAGGUAAUCUUAAGAUAAUGGAUAAUGUUUAUUUAUUUGUUUUUGAAUUCAAGAAAAUUUAUGUUCUUUGUUAAAUAUGUACCCAAGAAAAUGGUUAAAAAUUCUUAAUUCAAAGGCUAUUAUAGAAAAAUAUCUUGGAUGAUAACAUGAAUGAUACAAAAUCUCAUGUUGUAAAUAUGAAAGGCUUAUAUUGAUGAAGUUUUGUACUCUUUAUAUACCGUUUCUUCACCGGUAUCAUGUUUGUAUGAUCUUACGUUGUCGUUUUUUGCUUUCAAUUUUUUGUAAUUUGAUAUGGAUCUAUCAAGUUGUGGUCUUAUAUUUUGAAGGUUGUUGAGAUAUUUGUGAUCAAAUUACGGAGAAAUCUACGCUGUGAGAGAAAAAGACAAUUUUUUCAAUACCGAGUAACAAAUUUGCAAUAUGCACACUACCUAAAAUCACUUGAUUUACUCUUCUAUGAAACACUAGUUUUGUUUUCACAUAAAUAAGAGUUCUUUGUGAACCUGUGUAAAAUGAUAACUCGAUACGUGGUCCUGACUCUAAAAAACAUCUUUACUAAUUGCUUGCUCUAGCAUUAGUUAUACUAAUCUAUUUUCUCUUUAUAUUAUCUUUGUUUGAUUUCUUAUCCAAUUUCUUUUGUUGGGUAUAUUUUCAUCUUCUUGCUUAUGUAUAUAUUUUUAUAGUGUAUAUGAAAGCCUAUAUUUAUUUGCUUGUCAAUUUAUCAUUUAAUUCUUUGCACUUAAUUUAUUUUUAUAGUUUGUACAUAUACUAAUAAUCUUAUUAAUUUUGUUGUCUAUCACAGAUCUUUUUUCUCUCCAUGGAUAAUCACGUACGAAUAAAUUAUGCCUGAUGGAGUAAAGAAUUAUGAUAGUGAAAAAUGUCUUCAUAUUGCUUCUAUAUGCUUUUUUUUUAUUUUCAAAAGUAUGUGUCUUUAAGGGAAGCCUUAGAAUAACUGGUAAAGUUGCUGUCAUGUGACCAGGAGGUCACGGGUUCAAGCCUUGAAAACAGCGUUUGCCAGAAAUGUAAGGUAAGGGGCUGUGUAUGAUAUACCCUUGUGGUGGGGCCCUUCUCCGGACUCGGACACCGCGCAUAGCGAUAGAUUUAGUGCACCGGGCUGCCCUACCCUACAAAAGUAUGUGUCUUGAGUAAAUAAGUUGGAUUCUAAUAGCUAAUUGACUAUGUGCUUGUUUGAAUUGACUUUUAGUUUUGACUUAUAAGUUAAAAAUCUUAACUUUUUAUUUUAUUAUUUUAAUCUUAAAUCAAGUGUUUAUAACCACCUUCUAAAUUUAUACUCAAACACUAAAAUUGAUGAGCCAAUACAAUUAGGCUCAAUAUAUGUUACUUUUAAAUCUAUCAUAAUAUUCUUAUUUUAGGCGAUAACAUGUUGCACAACGUUCAAUGAUAAAUUGAGAUUGCACCAGAAAAGACAUUUAUGCCUACCUAGAGCAAGUCAUACAUUUAAAUAAAAAUGGUGCAGGUGAUUAUUUGAAGAAGCAUGGGGAUGUUGAACUUUCAACAAUAAAGUAGGCUACUAAAAUUAGCAAUAAAUUAGGAUGUAACUAUUUCAAUUUUUCUGUAUAUGUUACUGCAACAGUACUUUUUUAUUUAUGUCACUUAAAAUGUUAUGUUCACUACAACUCAUGUUUAUAUUACUGAAGACAUGAGUAUCUUAGAAUUCAAACCUUUAAAAAUGCAUUCGAUAAAAGUGGACAGUGAUGCAAGUACAAAAACUUAGGAUUGAAGCUUAUACUUCUUAUUGUAUAGGUUUAAGUCAUCAACAUACCCUUAAAUUUAUUUCAAAAUUUUAUUUGAACCCCUCACUUUUGUACCUAUUGGACACCUUUACUAUCCCACAUUGAAAUCAUUUAAACACUUUUUAUGUGGCAUAAUGUGUGUGGAGCACGCAUAAGAGGCGCACGAGAAAGGCAUUUUGUGAGAAAUAAAAGUUUCUUUAUUCUUUCUUGCCUCUAUGAUUACGCAUUUUAUGGAGACAAAAAAAAUUCUUUCUUCUUUCUUGCCUCUAUGCCAUUAGAGCCCUUUACUAUACCACUAGUAAGCCAUCGUUGCUACUUUCCCUCCUCUAUCAUCAUCUUUACUUUUUUUUUGGCCCCAUUGCCUUUUCUUUCAAAAUUGAUAUAGGCGAGAGAAUCAGAGGAUCCAAAAUAAUUCUAUCGAAUUCUAUAAUAUCAUUUUUUAAUAAACAUAUGCAUUUACAUUUUAAUUUAAGUGACGAUAUUUGCUCGGAGGUGGCCGAAAAUGGAGAUGAACGUAUUUAAGUGACAAAAAUAUGCUUUCUUCUUGCAAAUUUAAUUAAUCGCUUCAGAAAUCUUUUUACUUUUAUAAAAAUUAAAAAGAAAUAAAUUAGUAGAAAAGAACUAUUUUUUGAACAAAAAAAAUGCAGGAAUUAAGAGAAGAUGGAGAAGACGCUGACCAAUUUUGCUCCUACAGUUCGAAUAUUGAAAAUCCUGAAUUGAUGCAUCACCAUUCCUUAAGAUUAUCCUUUCCCCCUUUUAGUUUCUGGGACUUGCUAUCUUUGUUGUGUCAGUUCUUUUAUGCACAAAACACAUAAUUAUCAAGAAUAAUUUCUUUUGAAAAAAAUUGCCUACUUACUAAUGAAUAAUCAUCUUCUUUUUGAGGUCCUAUCAAACCAUCAAUAUGUACUGAUAUAAAGAAGAAAAAAG